UACGUAGGGUGCAAGCGUUUGUCCGGAAUUAUUGGGCGUAAAGAGCUCGUAGGCGGUCUGUCGCGUCGGCUGUGAAAACCCGGGGCUUAACCCUGGGCUUGCAGUGGAUACGGGGCAGACUAGAGGCAGGUAGGGGGAGAAUGGAAUUCCCGGUGUAGCGGUGAAAUGCGCAGAUAUCGGGGAGGAACACCGGUGGCGAAGGCGGUUCUCUGGGCCUGACCUGACGCUGAGGAGCGAAAAGCGUGGGGGAGCGAACAGG
rnacentral:rRNA from 1 species